rnacentral:rRNA from 1 species
CGGGUGAGUAACACGUGGAUAACCUACCUAUAAGACUGGGAUAACUUCGGGAAACCGGAGCUAAUACCGGAUAAUAUAUUGAACCGCAUGGUUCAAUAGUGAAAGACGGUUUUGCUGUCACUUAUAGAUGGAUCCGCGCCGCAUUAGCUAGUUGGUAAGGUAACGGCUUACCAAGGCAACGAUGCGUAGCCGACCUGAGAGGGUGAUCGGCCACACUGGAACUGAGACACGGUCCANACUCCUACGGGAGGCAGCAGAC